rnacentral:rRNA from 1 species
AACGAACGCUGGCGGCAUGCCUAACACAUGCAAGUCGAACGAGACCUUCGGGUCUUGUGGCGCACGGGUGCGUAAGGCGUGGGAACCUGCCCUUAGGUUCGGAAUACCUCCCCGAAAGGGGUGCUAAUAGCGGAUAAUGUCUUCGGACCGAAGAUUUAUCGCCUGUGGAUGGGCCCGCGUUGGAUUAGCUAGUUGGUAGGGUAAAAGCCUACCAAGGCGGCGAUCCGUUGCUGGUCUGAGAGGAUGAUCAGCCACACUGGGACUGAGACAAGGCCCAGACGCAUACGGAAGGCAGCAGUGGGGAAGAUGGGACAACGGGCGAAAGCCGGAUCCAGCCAUGCCGUGUGAGUGAUGAAGGGCUUAGGGUUGUAAAGCUCUUUUACCGGGGAUGAUAAGGACGGUACCGGGAGAAUAAGCUCGGGCUAAUUCCGG